CAGAUGGCCAAUAGACAUAUGGAAAGAUGCUCAGGGUCACUAAUUAUCAGAUAUGCAAAUUAAAACCACAAUCAGAUAUUACCUUACAUCUGUUGGAAUGGCUAUCCUCAAUAAAUCAGCAACCAGCAAGUGUUGGUAAGGAUGUGAAGAAAAGGGAACCCU